AGGGAAUCUUCCACAAUGGACGCAAGUCUGAUGGAGCAACGGCCGCGUGAGUGAAGAAGGUUUUCGGACCGUAAAGCUCUGUUGUUGGUGAAGAAGGAUAGAGGUAGUAACUGGCCUUUAUUUGACGGUAAUCAACCAGAAAGUCACGGCUAACUACGUGCCAGCAGCCGCGGUAAUCGUAGGUGGCAAGCGUUGUCCGGAUUUAUUGGGCGUAAAGCGAGCGCAGGCGGAAGAAUAAGUCUGAUGUGAAAGCCCUCGGCUUAACCGAGGAAUUGCAUCGGAAACUGUUUUUCUUGAGUGCAGAAGAGGAGAGUAGAACUCCAUGUGUAGCGGUGGAAUGCGUAGAUAUAUGGAAGAAUACCAGUGGCGAAGGCGGCUCUCUGGUCUGCAACUGACGCUGAGGCUCGAAAGCAUGGGUAGCGAACAGGAUUAGAUACCCUGGUAGUCCAUGCCGUAAACGAUGAGUGCUAAGUGUUGGGAGGCUUCCGCCUCUCAGUGCUGCAGCUAACGCAUUAAGCACUCCGCCUGGGGGAGUACGACCGCAAGGUUGAAAC
rnacentral:rRNA from 1 species